rnacentral:rRNA from 1 species
AAAACAUAACCUUUAGUCAUAAACCCAAUAUUAAAGGCAACGCCUGCCCAGUGAACUAUUUAACGGCCGCGGUACCCUAACCGUGCAAAGGUAGCAUAAUCACUUGUCUAUUAAUUGUAGACCUGUAUGAAAGGCAAAACGAGGGUCUAUCUGUCUCUUGUAGUAAAUCAAUUAAACUGAUCUCCCAGUUCAAAAGCUGGAAUACCAACAUAAGACCAGAAGACCCUGUGAAGCUUAAAUUAAACUAUUAAACCCAAUAAUAGCUCCUUUCGGUUGGGGCGACCUUGGAAAAAAAAAGAACUUCCAAAUACACUGACCCUACAGUCAUCCACUUCUAGGCCAACAAGCCUAUCAACGACCCAGUACAGCUGAUAAUUGAACCAAGUUACUCCAGGGAUAACAGCGCUAUCUUCUUCAAGAGUCCAUAUCAAAAGGAAGGUUUACGACCUCGAUGUUGGAUCAGGACAUCCUAAUGGUGUAGCCGCUAUUAAGGGUUCGUUUGUUCAACGAUUAACAGUCCUACGUGAUCU